AGGCAGACAAACUAAAGUAAGGCACAGCAAAUAACUACUCUGCAUGUUUCAACACCAAAAGAGGAAGAAGAGGAAGAGAAGAGCAACAAACCUGAGGACCAAAGGAAAAGAAAGAGGAGCACGAAGGUGGACAGAGAAGCAAUGAAUGGGAUUUCUUUGAGGAAUUAUCCCUCGUAACCCGAACCUCGACCUGACUGCUGAUCUCCAUCUGCUUAUCUGAGGACUCCUCCUCUGGAUGACGCACUGCACGUUUCAGCAACAAAUAAAGACUCAGUGAUGAGAUUUCUCCCCUGAAGGAGUUACCUGCCUUCUCCGCCUCAUCAACUGGUCUGCUCACUUCUGCCUUGUACAUUUUUUGCCACUCAGUCUGGGCUGGGUUGAGUGUGUGGAGCAACAAAGACUCUCACAGGAUGGAUGCCAAACAGGAGACGCUGGACCUCCUGAACAAGAUAUGGGUCAAGCUGCAGGGUCUGCCCAACGCCAGCCCUGUCGAGCUGGGAGCUUUCUUCAUCCUCCUAACCUUCAUCUUGGUGGUCCUGCUCAUGACGGUGCUGACCUGCGUGAGCUGCUGCUGCUGUCGCAAAACCAAGACGAAGGGGUCAAACAUUUGAGCAAACCUAACAGGGCACGGUGCAAAACGUCCCCGAGAGUCAUGGUAAUAUAAUCAACAGACAGAUUUCAGUGAGCGGUGAAGCCUCGUACAGGUUGUGUUCAGUGACACUAGAGGAGCCCAACCCAACAAAGCACCUGACAAACACAGAGGAGGACGUCCCGACUGGCUGCUGAACACACCUGCUACAGCUGCCCGAUUUUCAGGAGAACCUGCAUUCUUUGGGGCAUCCAUGCGCUUUACAGAGCAACAACACCAGCCCUGACCUGACCCUGACAAGGUGGGGCAAACCCAAAGUAUCUUUAAUAAUGCGGGGAACACAUGGAAUAUGAGCUGUAAAAAUGUGUGGAAUCAUUUAAAAGCUGCACGGUGAGAUAGGAAAAGGAAGUCAAGCUGGUUCAUUAAUGUUUUUCUAAACUUAGCUAUGUGUCAUUCUCAGGGAAUGAGAAUUGGCAGUCAGACUUAGUUACAUAUGAUCCUCCUCAGGGGAAGCUGUUCUCAAACCUGAAAGUGUUCCCUGACACUUCACAACAAAGUCUCAAAGUGAGAUCAAGACUGCCCUCUGCUGGACACAAACUGAAAUGGACUCUGAUUGUAUUUUGAAAAGCACAGCGUAUGAUGAAAGUUAUGUUUCAUGUGUAAAACUGCACGUUAUAUCUGUGCAACAGGUGGAUUAUGUAAUGGUGUGAUUUGUAUGAAAUAAACAAAUGAGACU